rnacentral:rRNA from 1 species
AGCAGCAGGCGCGAAACCUCCGCAAUGCGAGCAAUCGCGACGGGGGGACCCCAAGUGCCACUCUUAACGGGGUGGCUUUUCUUGAGUGUAAAAAGCUUUUGGAAUAAGAGCUGGGCAAGACCGGUGCCAGCCGCCGCGGUAAUAC